rnacentral:rRNA from 1 species
UUCCUACGGGCGGCAGCAGUGAGGAAUAUUGCGCAAUGGGGGCAACCCUGACGCAGCAACGCCGCGUGAGUGAGGAAGGUUUUCGGACCGUAAAGCUCUGUCGAGCGGGAAGAAAUGCAUGGUGGCUAAUAUCCAUCAUGCUUGACGGUACCGCUAAAGGAAGCACCGGCUAACUCCGUGCCAGCAGCCGCGGUAAUACGGGGGGUGCAAGCGUUGUUCGGAAUUAUUGGGCGUAAAGAGCGUGUAGGCGGCUGGAUAAGUCAGAUGUGAAAUCCCUGGGCUUAACCCAGGACGUGCAUUUGAAACUGUCCAGCUUGAGUAAGGGAGAGGAAAGUGGAAUUCCUGGUGUAGAGGUGAAAUUCGUAGAUAUCAGGAGGAACACCGGUGGCGAAGGCGACUUUCUGGCCCUAUACUGACGCUGAGACGCGAGAGCGUGGGUAGCAAACAGGAUUAGAUACCCCGGUAGUC